rnacentral:rRNA from 1 species
CCUACGGGUGGCAGCAGUGAGGAAUAUUGGUCAAUGGGAGAGAUCCUGAACCAGCCAAGCCGCGUGAGGGAAGACGGCCCUAUGGGUUGUAAACCUCUUUUGUCGGAGAACAAAACCCGGGACGUGUCCCGGACUGCGUGUAUCCGAAGAAAAAGCAUCGGCUAACUCCGUGCCAGCAGCAGCGGUAAUACGGCGGAUGCGAGCGUUAUCCGGAUUUAUUGGGUUUAAAGGGAGCGUAGGCGGUCCGUUAAGUCAGCGGGAAAAUUGCGGGGCUCAACCCCGUCGAGCCGUUGAAACUGGCAGACUUGAGUUGGCGAGAAGUACGCGGAAUGCGCGGUGUAGCGGUGAAAUGCAUAGAUAUCGCGCAGAACUCCGAUUGCGAAGGCAGCGUACCGGCGCCAGACUGACGCUGAGGCACGAAAGCGUGGGGAUCGAACAGGAUUAGAUACCCCAGUAGUC